AACAGGGGAAAGCAGGGCUCACUGAGCACCAUCCCAGCAUCCAGACACUGCAGCUGCCCUUCCCUCCAUGCCGAAAACCACACUUCUCAAUCCUUCACUCAACAUUUCCUUCCCCAAAGACAGAAAAUGCACAAGGAGGAGCACAACGUGACUGUGCUGGGGGCACCCCUUAGCACCAUCGUUCCAAGGUCCACUGUGAUCAACAUCCACAGCAAGACCUCCGUGCCCGACCAUGUCGUCUGGUCCCUGUUCAACACCGUCUUCUUGAACUGGUGCUGCCUGGGCUUCAUAGCAUUCGCCUACUUCAUGAAGUCUAGGGACAGGAAGAUGGUUGGCGACAUGACUGGGGCCCAGACCUAUGCCUCCACCACCAAGUGCCUGUACAUCUCGGCCCUGAUUGUGGGCAUCCUCAUGACCAUUGGAUUCAUCCUGUUACUGGUGUUUGGUUCUGUGAUGAUCUACCACAUUAUGUUAUAG